UACGGGGGGGGCAAGCGUUGUUCGGAAUUACUGGGCGUAAAGGGUUCGUAGGUGGCCAACUAAGUCAGACGUGAAAUCCCUCAGCUUAACCGAGGAACUGCCUGUCAGACUGGAAGGCUUGAGACCGGAAGAGGCGAGUGGAAUUCCUGGUGUAGCGGUGAAAUGCGCAGAUAUCAGGAGGAACACCAAUUGCGAAGGCAGCUCGCUGGGACGUUACUGACGCUGAGACGCGAAAGCGUGGGGAGCAAACAGG
rnacentral:rRNA from 1 species